CGAUAUCUUGGGGUCGUCGGUUCCGCGGGCGCAGGCUCGCGGAUGAAAAGGGAAGCCGGUCGAAUACCGGCGCUGCCCCGCAGCGGUAGGUGGAAACGAAGUCGCGCACGCACUGGGGCGGUGGCCCCGGGAAGCGGCGACGAGUAGGUGACGCGGGGUCCGCCCCGCGUCGUGUCCACGAGCCCGAAGACCUGCCGACAGCCGCGCGAUGCA
rnacentral:ncRNA from 2 species